rnacentral:misc_RNA from 1 species
CCGAGUUAGGGUCCUCUGGGCCCGACCUCCCAACCCUUUGUCGUUACCACCUCAGUUGCUUCGGCGGGCCCUGCCUCGAGAGAGGCACGCCGGAGGGGCGUCACACCCCUUCUGGCCAGCUGCCCGUCGACAGCCCCAACCACAAAACUCUGAACCAAACGUGUCGUCUGAGUAAACAAACAAAAUAAAGCAA